rnacentral:rRNA from 1 species
ACUCCUACGGGAGGCAGCAGUGGGGAAUAUUGCACAAUGGGCGGAAGCCUGAUGCAGCGACGCCGCGUGAGGGAUGACGGCCUUCGGGUUGUAAACCUCUUUCAGUAGGGAAGAAGCGAAAGUGACGGUACCUGCAGAAGAAGCGCCGGCUAACUACGUGCCAGCAGCCGCGGUAAUACGUAGGGCGCAAGCGUUAUCCGGAAUUAUUGGGCGUAAAGAGCUCGUAGGCGGUUUGUCGCGUCUGCCGUGAAAGUCCGGGGCUCAACUCCGGAUCUGCGGUGGGUACGGGCAGACUAGAGUGAUGUAGGGGAGACUGGAAUUCCUGGUGUAGCGGUGAAAUGCGCAGAUAUCAGGAGGAACACCGAUGGCGAAGGCAGGUCUCUGGGCAUUAACUGACGCUGAGGAGCGAAAGCAUGGGGAGCGAACAGGAUUAGAUACCCUGGUAGUCCAUGCCGUAAACGUUGGGCACUAGGUGUGGGGGACAUUCCACGUUUUCCGCGCCGUAGCUAACGCAUUAAGU